GACACAAUUGUUCCUAAUAGUCCNNNNNNNNNNNNNNNNNNNNNNNNNNNNNNNNNNNNNNNNNNNNNACCACAGUGAUCCAUCGAACACAGCUGCUUCCAGUCAGUUUUCAAUCAAUGCUGACUACCAACUAAGCACAACUGUCCACACUGGAACUUCGACCACUGUGGUUCCUAGUGAUCUGUCAAACACAACCAUUUCUUAUGGUCCCGCCAUCAGUAAAGAUCCUUUGGAUUCACCAAAGACAACUGUUUCUGGUGGCUCCACAACCAUUGCAGUUCCUAGUGAUCUGUCAAGCACAACUGUAUCUCCAGGCCUUUCAAGCAAAGCAGUUCUAUCCAGUCUGUUAACCACGACAGUUCCUACUAGUCCCACAAGCACGGCUGUUGCUACUGAUCUGUCAAACAGAAGUGUUCCUAAAGAUGAUUCAGACAUCUCAGGUUGUACCGAUCAGUUAAGUACAACUAUAGCUAUCGGUCCCUCAGCUACUACAGUUCCUAAAGAUCUUUCAGACAGAACCGUUGUUUCAGGCCCUUCAACCUCCCCAGUGCCUACUUAUCAGUCAAGCACAGUUGCUCCUCAUGCUACUGUAACCACCACUGUCUCUACUGAUGUGUCAAACACGGCUGGACCAAAUUAUCUAUCAGAUACUUCAAUUUCAGCGAGUAUGUCAAUCACAAAUGCUCCAGCUGGCCAGUCAAGUAAUACAGUUCACACUGAUCCAUCAAGCACAAGCGCUCCUGAUCAUUUUUCAAACAAUGUAUUCCCUCAUGAUCAGCCAAGCUCAACUGUUAAUACUGAUAUUUUUUCCACUGCAGUUCCCUCAGAUCUGUCAAGCUCAACUGAUCCUUAUGGUCCUGUCACAACUAAAGAUGCUUUGAAUUCAUUAAAGACAUCUGUUCCUGAUGGUUCCACAAAUGCUGCAGUCCCAACCAAUCAAUCAAGCACAGCUGUUCCCACUGGAACUUUGAACACUGUGGUUCCUACUGAUCUGUCAAGCACAGCUGUACUGUCAGGCAUUUCAGCCUCCAG
ensembl:lncRNA